UGAUGACAAUCUCCGGAAUCUCUGUAUUUUCUUGAUGAAUGCAUUGAACCCUUUUUUCUGAUGACUGUUUCUGUCAAA
rnacentral:snoRNA from 1 species